AUUGAACGCUGGCGGCAGGCCUAACACAUGCAAGUCGAGCGAGCGGCGGACGGGUGAGUAAUGUAUGGGAAACUUCCUGAUGGAGGGGGAUAAAUACUGGAAACGGUAGCUAAUACCGCAUACCAUCAGAUGAACCCAUAUGGGAUUAGCUAGUAGGUAAGGUAACGGCUUACCUAGGCGACGAUCCCUAGCUGGUCUGAGAGGAGGAUAAGCCACACGGGGACUGAGAAACGGCCCAGAGUCCUACGUGAGGCAGCAGUGGGGACUAUUGCACAAUGGGCGAAAGCCUGAUGCAGCCAUGCCGCGUGUAUGAAGAAGGCCUUCGGGUUGUAAAGUACUUUCAGCCGGGAGGCGUUACCGACAGAAGAAGCACCGGCUAACUCCGUGCCAGCAGCCGCGGUAAUUC
rnacentral:rRNA from 1 species